rnacentral:rRNA from 1 species
CGGACGGGUGAGUAAUGUCUGGGAAACUGCCCGAUGGAGGGGGAUAACUACUGGAAACGGUAGCUAAUACCGCAUAACGUCGCAAGACCAAAGAGGGGGACCUUAGGGCCUCUUGCCAUCGGGUGUGCCCAGAUGGGAUUAGCUAGUAGGUGGGGUAAUGGCUCACCUAGGCGACGAUCCCUAGCUGGUCUGAGAGGAUGACCAGCCACACUGGAACUGAGACACGGUCCAG